rnacentral:rRNA from 1 species
AUUGAACGCUGGCGGCAGGCCUAACACAUGCAAGUCGAGCGGAUGAGUGGAGCUUGCUCCAUGAUUCAGCGGCGGACGGGUGAGUAAUGCCUAGGAAUCUGCCUGGUAGUGGGGGACAACGUUUCGAAAGGAACGCUAAUACCGCAUACGUCCUACGGGAGAAAGUGGGGGAUCUUCGGACCUCACGCUAUCAGAUGAGCCUAGGUCGGAUUAGCUAGUUGGUGAGGUAAAGGCUCACCAAGGCGACGAUCCGUAACUGGUCUGAGAGGAUGAUCAGUCACACUGGAACUGAGACACGGUCCAUACGCCUACGGGAGGCAGCAGUGGGGAAUAUUGGACAAUGGGCGAAAGCCUGAUCCAGCCAUGCCGCGUGUGUGAAGAAGGUCUUCGGAUUGUAAAGCACUUUAAGUUGGGAGGAAGGGCAGUAAGUUAAUACCUUGCUGUUUUGACGUUACCAACAGAAUAAGCACCGGCUAACUUCGUG